UCGCUCUCAAAGUGGCUGUGAAAUGCGUCCUUCAUAAGGGGGGGGUUAUAAUAUCCUUUUUCGCAUAUCACAGCCAGCUUUGAAGAGCGUCA
rnacentral:pre_miRNA from 1 species